rnacentral:tRNA from 1 species
GAGGGUAGAGCUCAGUGGUAGAGUGCAUGCUUAGCAUGCACAAGGUCCUGGGUUCAAUACCCAGUGCCUCCA